CUGUCAAUUCAGUUAAAAAAAUUACACUUGAUCAUUCUGAGAUUAAUUAUAUCUUGGGAUAUACGUACAAGGAAUAUAUAUAUAUAUAUAAUCAAAUGUGUGCUUAAGCUUGGCCCAAGUAUUUCAAAGUGAUAAUAUGUCAUCUGGCCCAAAUGAUUCUCCCCUACAAUGCAAUUAUCCUUACAAGACUUGGGCCUCAUUUGUGUAUGUUAUGCAAACAAGUCAACAAAGUAGGAUUCGACGUGAACUGAAACUUAAUUUAGCUGUUGAGGAGGGGAGGCUAGGCAGUAGGCAGUAGGCAGUAGGCAGGGUGAGUGAGCAGGCCCAUGAAAACUUGCUCCAUGUGUUAACCUGGUAUGGCAUUAUAAUUAGCUAGCUAUUCGUGUCUUAGUUUUUUGUAUAAUGAAAUCUUAUCUGCUAAGCAGAAUAUUAAAAUUAC
rnacentral:lncRNA from 1 species